ACCCUACUUGUGACAAAUAAAAAUUCAUUGAUAUCAUAAAUAAAAUGAAAUCUUACAUCAAGUUGAAGACUUAUCACUUUUUUACUUAGAUUAAAUGGAAAUUUUUUUCCAGUUUAUUUGAUAAUUAUUAUUUUCAAAUCAAUUACUAGCAUAUGAAUCAUAUAAUUGUUAAGUAAUUAAUUAAUUAAUGGGAGAGACUUGUGAAAUUUACCCAACCUUUAUGCACAGAUAUGUCGUAAUAGUCAUUUGCCAAAGUGCUAUUAGAACUUAAUGUAGUACAUAAAUUAAAAUAAUAAUGAAACUUCCAUUUACCUAUUAAUAGAAACGUAAACGAGGGAUAAGAAGACGAAUUUUCUUCAACAAGUUCAUCACACUCAGCUUAUCCCUAAAUUUAUUUAUCGUUUCUUUUCCUCACUAACUACGUGGUCUGGAAGAUAAACAAAAUGAACUUCCAAGCACGGAUAUAGGAUAAUUAAAAAUGUAAUAAGAAAAUAUAAGUUCUUUGCGGAUAUCAAAGGAUUGCAAAUUCAUCCGGAUAUGGGAAAUAUACGAGGAAAAGAGAUAGCUGAGAGUCAAGUCUGGAGGUGUGUUAUUUUUUGUGUAUCUUUACCUUCUUAGUACGAAAAAGGGCGACGACAGUGAUGAGAUUGCCAGGUAUGCCGAUCAGCAUAAAAAGAACACAGCAUCCAGCAGCAAAAUGAAGCAGCCAUGGAGGAUAACCACCAAAUAAAAUUGCUGACUCUGGAUUUUCCAAGACCUCUUCAAUUUUAGAUAGGCUACUAUUUGUUUCAGUAUCGUUAUUUGCCAUCCAGUAUUCCAACAUUCUGUUAAUCAUACCAGUGAUUCAUCAAUUUAUCAGUUUAUGCAUCAAUUAUUUAUAUGCUAAAAAUACAAAAUAAAACAAUUCCUGGAUUUAUUGAAAUUGUUGAUGUUUUCAUGAUGUCUAGACUUCUAAAAAAUUCAUCAGAUUUUUUUUUUGAUAAUUUUUUGACGAGUUGUAAUAAAUAAUACUCGACUUUAUUCAUAAAUUAAGUUGCUUUAUUUUAAGUCUAUAAAGAGGGAAGUACAUGAGUUUUAGGUUUUAUGUGUCAACUUGUUUUAUAAGUUUGUCACAGUUUUAGUCAUUUGUCUUUGAUAAUUUUUUUAUUACAUCGAAUAAAUUACAAAAGAAUGUUGGGAUACUCUAGUAAAUUUGUCAGAUGAGAAUGAUUGAUUAACAGCUAAAUAAUGAAAUAUUCAAUAUGAAUUUUUGGUUGAUAAUGAAAAUAAAUGAAAGGUUUAAGUACUAACAAGAAAUAUUGCAGAAAUUUGUAGGCCUAGUCAUAGUUAGAUAUAGUCAUUUAAGAGGGUCUUAAUAGUGAGAACGAUGAGAGAAAAAAAACGCUUCAGAAUGCUCCAUUUCAUCCUCAAUUUCACUUUUUUCUUUAUAUUUUUCUUUCACUGUUUCUUAUGUGUUUAAGUAUGUAGUUUCGUUCGUAUUAUUUAACAAAGAAUUAUUUGCAAAGUUCGAUAUCUAUUUAAUAAAUAUUUGUCUACGACAAAAAAAUAUUUCUAAAGACUUGAAGAGUUGAAAUUAAAAACAUUGGCAAAAUAGUCAAAGAAAAAUAACAAAGAGCUUAAUUUUUUUGUCAAUCAUGUCAAUAAAUCGAUAAUGCUUUUCGGUCAAUUGGGUUUGAACUCAACCACUUUUCAAGAAAAAUAGAUACUCGAUUUUUUUCGUAUCAUACAUUUGAUUUUUUUCUUAUCUUUUUUUCUUUACUUCCUAAUGGACAA